AGAGUUUGAUCAUGGCUCAGGAUAAACACUGGCGGCGUGCUUUAUGCAUGCAAGUCGUACGGUUCUUCCCGCAAGGGAAGGAUAGUGGCAAACGGGUGAGUAAUACGUAAGUAACCUGCCCCCAAGUAGGGGAUAACUCCGAGAAAUUGGAGCUAAUACCUUAUGUGGUGAUGGCGGUAAGGCACCAUCACUAAAGCCGCAAGGCGCUUAGGGAGGGGCUUACGGCCUAUCAGGUAGUUGGUGGGGUAACGGCUCACCAAGCUUUUGACGGGUAGCUGGUCUGAGAGGAUGGUCAGCCACACUGGGACUGAGACACGGCCCAGACUCCUACGGGAGGCAGCAGCAAGGAAUAUUGUGCAAUGGGCGAAAGCCUGACCCAGCAACGCCGCGUGCGCGAUGAAGGCCUUCGGGUUGUAAAGCGCUUUUCUGAGGGAAGAGCAAGGACGGUACCUCAGGAAUAAGGUUCGGCUAACUACGUGCCAGCAGCCGCGGUAACACGUAGGAACCGAGCGUUAUCCGAAUUUACUGGGCGUAAAGCGCGUGUAGGUGGUUCGAUAAGUUGGGUGUGAAAGCUCCUGGCUCAACUAGGAGAGGCCGCUCAAUACUGUCGGGCUAGAGAACGGUAGAGGGAGGUGGAAUUCCCGGUGUAGUGGUGAAAUGCGUAGAUAUCGGGAGGAACACCAGUGGCGAAGGCGGCCUCCUGGACCGUUUCUGACACUGAGACGCGAAAGCUAGGGGAGCGAACGGGAUUAGAUACCCUAGUAGUCC
rnacentral:rRNA from 1 species